UCUACGGGCGGCAGCAGUGGGGAAUAUUGCACAAUGGGCGAAACCCUGAUGCAGCGACGCCGCGUGAGUGAAGAAGUAAUUCGUUAUGUAAAGCUCUAUCAGCAGGGAAGAACAUGACGGUACCGGAGUAAGAAGCCACGGCCAAAUACGUGCCAGCAGCCGCGGGAAUACGUAGGGGGCAAGCGUGAUCCGGAUUUACUGGGGGUAAAGGGAGCGUAGACGGGUGUGCAAGUCUGGAGUGAAAGGCGUGGGGUCAACCCCCGGAGUGCUCUGGAAACUGUACGGCUAGAGUGAAAGAGAGGUAAGUGGAAUUCCAAGUGUAGCGGUGAAAUGCGUAGAUAUUAGGAGGAACACCAGUGGCGAAGGCAGCUUACUGGACUGUAACUGACGUUGAGGCUCGAAAGCGUGGGGAGCAAACAGGAUUAGAUACCCGAGUAGUC
rnacentral:rRNA from 1 species